AGAGUUUGAUCAUGGCUCAGAAUGAACGUUGGCGGCGUGGAUUAGGCAUGCAAGUCGAGCGCGAACCCCGCAAGGGGUGAAAGCGGCGAAAGGGACAGUACAAAGUAGACUACGUACCCUCGGGACCGGGAUAGCUGCGGGAAACUGCAGGUAAUACCGGAUAACAUCCCUGGAUCAAAGGUGUGAUUCCGCCUGAGGAUCGGUCUGCUCCCUAUUAGUUAGUUGGUGAGGUAACGGCUCACCAAGACUAUGAUUGGUAGGGGUUCUGAGAGGAAGGUCCCCCACACUGGUACUGAGAUACGGACCAGACUCCUACGGGAGGCAGCAGUAGGGAAUAUUGGGCAAUGGAGGAGACUCUGACCCAGCCAUGCCGCGUGAAGGAAGAAGGCUUUCUGAGUUGUAAACUUCUUUUGAUCGGGAACAAAGAGGCCAUGCGUGGCAAGAUGAGUGUACCGAUAGAAUAAGCACCGGCUAACUCCGUGCCAGCAGCCGCGGUAAUACGGAGGGUGCAAGCGUUGUCCGGAUUUAUUGGGUUUAAAGGGUGCGUAGGCGGCCUGUUAAGUCAGUGGUGAAAUUUUGUAGCUCAACUAUAAGACUGCCAUUGAUACUGAUGGGCUUGAGUACAGAUGAGGUAGGCGGAAUUUAUGGUGUAGCGGUGAAAUGCAUAGAUACCAUAAAGAACACCUAUUGCGAAGGCAGCUUACUAAGCUGUAACUGACGCUGAGGCACGAAAGCGUGGGGAUCGAACAGGAUUAGAUACCCCCGUAGUCC
rnacentral:rRNA from 1 species